rnacentral:misc_RNA from 1 species
AGUCACAGGUUCUCUCUUGGUCCGUUAACUGGACCGUGAGGAGCGAAGCGUGGGAUCGAUCAGGAUAGAUAACUGUAGUCAAGCGUUAUCGUUGAUGCUGAUGUGGGCCGUGCACGAGUCGUGUCGAGCUACGCGUAGCAUCCGCUGGGGAGUACGGCCGCAAGGCUAAAACUCAAAGAAAAUGACGGGGGCCCGCACAAGCGGCGGAGCAUGCGGAUUAAUUCGAUGCAACGCGAAGAACUUACUGGGCUUGACAUGUUCCCGACGGUCGUAGAGAUACGGCUUCCCUUUCGGGGCGGGUUCACAGGUGGUGCAUGGUCGUCGUCAGCUCGUGUCGUGAGAUGUUGGGUUAAGUCCCGCAACGAGCGCAACCCUCGCCCCGUGUUGCCAGCGGAUUAUGCCGGGAACUCACGGGGGACCGCCGGGGUUAACUCGGAGGAAGGUGGGGAUGACGUCAGAUCAUCAUGCCCCUUACGUCCAGGGCUUCACGCAUGCUACAAUGGCCGGUACAACGGGAUGCGACGCGGCGACGCGGAGCGGAUCCCUGAAAACCGGUCUCAGUUCGGAUCGCAGUCUGCAACUCGACUGCGUGAAGGCGGAGUCGCUAGUAAUCGCGAAUCAGCAACGUCGCGGUGAAUGCGUUCCCGGGCCUUGUACACACCGCCCGUCAAGUCAUGAAAGUGGGCAGCACCCGAAGCCGGUGGCCUAACCCCUUGUGGGAUGGAGCCGUCUAAGGUGAGGCUCGUGAUUGGGACUAAGUCGUAACAAGGUAGCCGUACCGGAAGGUGCGGCUGGAUCACCUCCUUUCUACGGAGAAUUCAGUCGGAUGUUCGUCCGACGGUGUGCGCCCCGCGCGUCGCAUGGUGCGAUGGCGGCGGGGUUGCUGGUGUGGAAGACGUCGUUGGCUUUGCCCUGCCGGUCGUGCGGUGGGUGCGGGGUGGUAUGGAUGCGCUUUUGGGCUCCCGGAUCGCCACCCCAGGCUUUUUGCCUGGCGCGAUUCGAUGCCCGUCGUGCCUGGGGGCCGGCCGUGUGCCGGCGCGAUGGCGUGGCGGUGCGUGGUGGCUUGAGAACUGGAUAGUGGACGCGAGCAAAACAAGGGUUUUUGAAUCUUUGUUUUGCUGUUGAUUUCGAAUCGAACUCUAUUGUUCGUUUCGAUCGUUUUGUGAUCAUUUUUAGUGUGAUGAUUUGUCGUCUGGGAAUUUGCUAGAGGAAUCUUGCGGCCAUGCACUACGUGGUUUG